UGAGGGGCAGGAAGAGUGUACCACGAUGGGGCAAGCAAGCCCUGCCCUGAGUCUUCAGUGCAGAGCGAGAAGUUAGGUGGCAGAAGUGAGGCUGGAGAGGGGAAUAGACUCAAAGGGCUUUGUGAGCCAGGUCGAGGGUGUUGGAAUUUUCCGUAACGGAGAGCCCGUAGUGGUGGGUUUAUGUCUUAGAAAUCACUCUGACUGCACUAUGGAGAAUGAAUGGAAGAGGGGCAAGACCAGGGGCAGGAAGCCUGUGAGGGGGGCAGUUUUAGUGUCUACAUGAGAGGCCAGCGUGUCCUGGAUCUGAGUGGUGUCAAUGACGAGAAAGAGAAGUGGGUAGAAUUUAGUAAUAUUUAGGGCAUUUAAUUGAGAGGAUUCCGGUGGCUGAAAUGAGGGGACAGAAGAAAAAGUCAAGGAUGAGGCUCAGUUGUGUUGCUUGGAUAACUGGGUAGUUGGUAACCCCCAGAGCCCUGGAGGAGAAAAAGAUUCUGAGAUGUUGAGUGAUUUGGAACAUGCUGUUCAAAAGGAGUGUCAGUCCAUCAGCACUUGGAGAUAUGGGGGUCUGGAGGGGAGGAGAGUGCCAUGUCAAUCACUGGCCUCAGCUUAGAGAUGGCAGGCAGGGGGCUGGAGAAGGUGGUUCAGGGAGUGUGUUUCAGGAGCAAGGAGAAAACUGCCUAGAAUGGAAUUCGGUGGAGUGAUGUUUGUAUAAUGAUGCUGGAGGAGGAGGAGGUGGAGGAGGUUUUUAGGAGACUCAGAGGAAAUAACCAGAAACGUAGGUGUUAGCUAUAGCAAUUCAUCUGCUUAUUCAGCUGCUGUAAGUCAGCAUUUAUUGAGGUUCCAUAUGUCCUGGGUGCAUUCAGAGACAAGUGAGACUUAACUGUUGACAUCAAACUUAAACCAUGGCCAUCACCCCAGUACGGUCUUCUGAAACAAGAGGCCCCUUUCUUGUAGGCCGCUGACCGUCUUAUUUUCUUACUGAUAGAUUGUUCUUCCUUAGCACGUUUACAGGCCCUGGAGUGCCUCCCACGGUCACCCUCCUGUAUUAACCAGGCCCCAAAGACCCAGGUCUAGCAGUCAAGCCUUCUGUCCAUGGUGGGUGUAUGGCCUGAACCGGAUACUUCAAGGCUGUCAGGGGGCAGACGGCAUAAGGAAGGAAAGGAGGGAACAUGUCAUAUGCUGAGGGUUCAGCAAAUUGUACCCACACACCAGGCAUAGAAACACAAGAAAAUCACCCCCGCUCCGUGGGUGAGACUAAGCAGCAGUCCUCUUCCCAUCUGCUUUGCCUUCACAAACAUGCCUUUUCUUCUUCUUCUUUUUGGUUCUCUGCAGCUUUGAAUACAUGAGGAAGAAGAGUGGGAGACAGGAGGAAAGCUCCCUCCUACCUUCUCUUCCCUACCUUCCCUGCACACCCUUCUCCCAGCCUGAAUCCACAGCCAUGACUCGUCACUCGCCUGCUGUUAAUAUAUCCCCAGCACUCUGUGCUUCUUCCUACCUGGCAGCAACCAACCCUGGACAACCUGACUCCCUGACUUCUCUGCACCUGCACACAGGCUGGCAGGAGCUGCCAGAGGCCUUGGCCCAGCAGCUGAGCUGGAACUACAGAGCAGUUCUCAACCUCGGCCGGGCUCUCAUUUCCCGCUGGAGGAGAAAUCCUAGUCAUCUCUCUCCCUGCUCAUAGAAGAGGAGUGUUUCAGACGUUCUCCACAGGCCUCAAACAAAUGCAAGUCACUCCCACGUGAAAAAUGAAAACAACCCUGGCAGUUACCCAAAUGGCCAUCAGUUGAUAACGGGAUGCUCUACAACGAAAAGAAUAAGCUACAUGCAACAAUAUGGAUGAAUCUUACAGGCAUGAUGUGAUGCCGAGUGAAAGAAGCAAGACCACAAGAGAGGAUAUAGGUAUGAUUCCUCUGAUGCAAAGUUCAGAAAUGGGCCAAACUCAUCUAUGGUUAUAGAAAUCAGAAUGGUAGUUACCCUUGAGGGCUUCCAGGGAGGUGCUGAUGUUCAAUUUCCCAAUCGGGGUUCUAUUUCCUAAUCCUAUGUAGUUGUGUUCCCUUGUGAAAAUGUAUCGAGCUGGACCACUGAAUGUGCCCGUUCGGUAUGUAUAUUAUAUUUCAAAUCAAGCUGACUUUAAAUAAAUAACUACACAAAGAAAUGA